rnacentral:rRNA from 1 species
UACGUAGGUGGCAAGCGUUGUCCGGAUUUACUGGGCGUAAAGAGCGCGCAGGCGGUCGUUCAAGUCGCGUGUGAAAGCCCCCGGCUCAACUGGGGAGGGUCACGCGAUACUGAUCGACUCGAAGGCAGGAGAGGGAAGCGGAAUUCCCGGUGUAGUGGUGAAAUGCGUAGAUAUCGGGAGGAACACCAGUGGCGAAGGCGGCUUCCUGGCCUGUUCUUGACGCUGAGGCGCGAAAGCUAGGGGAGCAAACGGG